rnacentral:rRNA from 1 species
GAUGAACGCUGGCGGCGUGCUUAACACAUGCAAGUCGAACGGAAAGGCCAGUGCUUGCACUGGUGCUCGAGUGGCGAACGGGUGAGUAACACGUGGGUGAUCUGCCCUGCACUUUGGGAUAAGCCUGGGAAACUGGGUCUAAUACCAGAUAGGACCAUGCUUUGGAUGGUGUGGUGGAAAGGUUUUUCGGUGUGGGAUGAGCUUGCGGCCUAUCAGCUUGUUGGUGGGGUAAUGGCCUACCAAGGCGUCGACGGGUAGCCGGCCUGAGAGGGUGUACGGCCACAUUGGGACUGAGAUACGGCCCAGACUCCUACGGGAGGCAGCAGUGGGGAAUAUUGCACAAUGGGCGCAAGCCUGAUGCAGCGACGCCGCGUGGGGGAUGACGGCCUUCGGGUUGUAAACUCCUUUCGCAACUGACGAAGCUUUUUGUGACGGUAGGUUGAGAAGAAGCACCAGCUAACUACGUG